UGAUAGAGACUAAGAAAUUUUCUGUGACGUGGCCAACAAGGAAGGCAAUAGUAAUAAUUAGCUUGAAAACAAAUUACAAGGUUGCCAGAACCGUGACUCUUCUGCUACUAUUGCUAGCCGACACACAAAAAACAUAUUUACGAUAAAGUGAAAGUACCGUACCUGUCAAAAAGAUAAAGAAGUCUGAAAGGAUGGCAGAAGCAUCAUAUGCUGUGGAUGAAAGAAAGUUUCCAGGAUGGCUUUAUAUUAUUAUGAAGGUAAGGGGACUGAAAGUAAAGACAGAAGGAGGAUGGUUAGGAGCACUCCUUGGAAAGAAAAAAAUUGCUACAAAUGCACAUAUUGAAGAGCCAGAAUUUGGUGUAAGGACAGUAACAGUAAAAGUAGUUGGUAAAGGUGAUUUAUCUGGUACCAAUACAGAGUUGGCCAUAAAGCAACUGCCGUUGGAUAUCGUACCGUCCAGCUGCUAUAUAGAGCCAGAGGAUAAUCGGAUUUUGGUUUAUCUUAAGAAGGCAGACAGUAAACAAUCCUGUAAAACCUAUAUGGAAGGCAGUGGUAUUGAAACAGAUUAUUAAAACCUUUCUAUGGUAUAAAUAAUGGUUAUAUUGAAUAUAUAUGGAAAAUAUAUAUAUAUAGUAUAAUCUUUUAUGGUUUUUUUCUUAUUUUAAAGAGGGAUGCAUAUAAAAAAAAUCUGUAAUGAAAGUAUAGUUUUUUUAAAUAUAUGUAAUAGACCAAUAUUGAAAAUUAUUUAGUUUUUGUCACAAUAUGUUAGAGUAAGAUUUGAAAAGCAUAAAUAAUGUACAAUUUUUGUCAGUAAAUGAAUUAAUUAUAUCUUUAUAUAGAUUUGGAUAUUUCAUUUUUUCAAGGUUUAAUUAUCUUAUAUUGUCACAGAAACUUUUAUUACAAGGCAUUGUAUUUCUAUACUUUGAAGGCUUGUAGAUUUUCAGAUUUAUUUUUUAAAGUGCUCAAUAUCAAUUUCUUUUUUAUACGCCCACAUUUAAAUGUGGUCGUAUAUUGUCGUCGCCCCCGUCCGUCCGUCCGUCCGUCCGUACGUCCGCCGGUCCGUCGGUCCGUCGGUCCGGCAUCCACAAUUGCUUGUGGACGCUCUAGAGGCUAAAGUUAAUAUCCGAUUGACAGUGUUUAGGGUCAUGAGACGAAGAAUCCUAUUGAUUUUCAGCGAUUUCCGAUAAUUACUGGCAGAGUUAUGGCCCUGGAUCACUUCACAAAAUCUUGUGGACGCUCUAGAGGCCAAAAGUAAAUUCAUACAUAGUGUUUAAGGUCAUGAGACGAAGAAGCCUAUUGAUUUUUAGCAAUUUCUUAUAAUUACUGCCAAAGUUAUGGCCCUUGAUCACUUUGCAAAAUCUUGUGACGCUCUAAAGGCUAAAGUUAUCAUCCGAUUGACUUCAGAUUAACACACAGAGUUUAAGAUCUUGAGACGAACAAGUAUAUUGAUUUUCAAUGAAUUUUUAUGACUUGGAACAGCUAAAUCCAUGAUAUUAAAAGUUUUGUAUACAAACCAAACAAAUUCUAAUGGUUUUCUGAGUUGUUGCUCUUAAUCAGAUUUUAGUGUAUUAUAAAUGUUUCAUUACCGAAAAAAGUAAAAAUAUGCGACAACUCUUAUUGACUGCCGGACGAUUUAGCUGCUGUGGGCGUAUGUUUCGCUGCCUGGCAACCUAUCUUUUUAAUAUCCGUCCUUUUAUAUUUUGGGGUAUCAUUUCUUUGUGCUCAAUAUCAUUUUCUUUUUUUUAAUAUCUGGCCUUUUAUAUUUUGGGGUAUCAAGGUGUAAUUUUAUUUUCUUAUUCUCUGUAACUUGAAUCUAUUAACCACUUUUAUCUUUUAGAAUAAAACUCUUUGAUAAAGUUUA